UGGGGAAUUUUGGACAAUGGGGGGAACCCUGAUCCAGCAAUGCCGCGUGAGUGAAGAAGGCCUUCGGGUUGUAAAGCUCUUUUGUCAGGGAAGAAACGGUUCUGGUUAAUACCUGGGGCUAAUGACGGUACCUGAAGAAUAAGCACCGGCUAACUACGUGCCAGCAGCCGCGGUAAUACGUAGGGUGCAAGCGUUAAUCGGAAUUACUGGGCGUAAAGCGUGCGCAGGCGGUUUUGUAAGUCAGAUGUGAAAUCCCCGGGCUCAACCUGGGAAUGGCAUUUGAAACUGCAAGGCUAGAGUGUGUCAGAGGGGGGUAGAAUUCCACGUGUAGCAGUGAAAUGCGUAGAGAUGUGGAGGAAUACCGAUGGCGAAGGCAGCCCCCUGGGAUAACACUGACGCUCAUGCACGAAAGCGUGGGGAGCAAACAGG
rnacentral:rRNA from 1 species